CAGCUGCAUUUUGGACUAACUGUAGCCUAUUUAUUAAAAACGCAGGACACCACCUAGUAAUGCAUUAUAAUAGUCCAGUCUAGAGGUCAUGAACGCAUGAACUAGCUUCUCAGCAUCAGAUAAAGUCAGGAUGUUUCUCAACUUGGUAAUAUUUCUAAGGUGGAAGAAGGCUGUUUGUGUAAUAUGGGCGAUAUGGUUUUAAAGACAAGUUGCUGUCUAAUGUAUCAUGCAAGUUCCAUCUCAUUUCUAAAGAAACUAUUAUCUUGGUUCAGCCACUUACAAACUCUUGUGUAAUCUUAUUUUCUGUUUUCUCUUUCGGGAAGUACUAAAACUAAAAUUUUACUCCUUUCCCAGGAACACUGAGGAGCAUUUUUAUUGUUUUAUUUUAUAACAGUUUUUUAUUACUGUUAGUCCAACAGUCAUUUCAGGAGAACUUAAGAUAAUUAAUGUCCUGUCUUUGACUCUCCUCCGACACCGAUCUCCUUGUUUGCUUAGACAAGUUUGCUUUUACAUGGAAAUGAGAUAUUAGUAGAUUCCCUAAACUCCAGUUUUCAGUAUAAAGUCUUUGCUUUUCACUCUUCAGUGUACAUCAGUUUGUCCUUCUCUCUUUUCCUUUGUGUUGGUGUCCUGGUCACAUUUCAACAGCUCAUGAACAGAAUCUCCACCUUCACACAAAUUCCUGUCUGUGUGGAUGGCAUUAUUAUUUAUAAGAUGUGUUGUUCAGUGGUAUCUCAGCUGUUAAGACACUGGGCUCCUGAUUGGAAGGUCAUGAGGUCAAAUCCCAGCACUAAAAUGCUGCCAUUGUUGGACUCCUGAUAAAUGCCCUUAAUGCUCACCUGCUCAGACAUUUAUUUGAAACUGUUAUUUGUUUUGGAUAAAAUAAUUGGCUAAUUGACAGGAAAAUAAUCCAUAUAUAAUCCAAUAAUCUAAAUUUCCCAUAACAACACAUCCACAAGUGUGUUAUUCCUCUUACACCAGAACAACUCAUGAUGAUCUGUUUAUAAUUACAGUUCUGUUGUGGAACGUCUGUGAAACACUGAGAGACCUGGCAGUUGAUAUGUGUGUGUAAGCUCUUAGUUUCAUCAUCAACCCCACUGCAACACUUGACCAGUGUACCUGACAGCAGUGUUAUAAAAAGGCAAGUAUCUGAGACAGGAGAGCGAGAGACCAGCCGGUUCUUCUACAGUGGAAGAAGAUCAUCUCACAUCUUCUACUGAACUCCAACAUCAAGUUCCAGCAGCUUGUGAUUUCUGCUCUCUUGAGAUCAACUCCUCACACACAAUCAUCACACUCUUCCUCAUUACAAACUCCCCCACCGUGUGUCAGGA